GCCUGCGACGACCAUUAAGAAGGGUGCACGUCCCUUCCCUCCUCCUCCCUGUGACGCUGGAACUGGGAUCAGCGCCUCUCUUCCUGACCAAGACGUAAGCUCCAGAGGGCAAGGAGGGCGCCUGCACUGCAUCCCAGCGCCAGGGGCCUGAUGAAUGAGUGAAUGAAUGAGGGACACCUCCUUGUCAGCCCAGCACACAGUAGGUGGGCAGCAGAUGGUCACGAUGGCCACUUUCAACUCUGCAGCCUUGGUAGAGACCCUGGCAAGCUGGGGUGCAGCAGAGCGGAAGCCGGAUCACCUGGGGUUGAGCUGCAGUUGGUGACACGGAACCUGAUCUCCCAGACGAAUGGAUCCUGGAAAUGAUCCCUCACUUGGCCUGUCCUGGCUGGGCUGCCCAGGCAGUAUGGCCCUGCAUGGCUCAGGGGACGGCCAGGACGUCCUGUGGCGGGUUUUCUCGGCUGUGAUUUGGACCAUGUUUUUUCCCUUCUAAACAACUACUCUGGAAAAAGGGACUCUGACUUUGAACGCGCUGGCCCCAGUUGUUCCGCUUCUGUCCGCAAACAGCACCCCCUCCCCGCCUGGCCCCAGUGGCUCAGCCGAGUGUUUCCAGACCAAACGGCAGCCGGGGGUCACCCUGAGGCAUCAUGGACUCAAGCUCAGAGAGGUCAGGAAACUUGCCCGAAGCCACACAGCUGUAAGCGGCGGGGCAGGGCCUGGACGGCAGCGCUGUGUGACCACUGGGUGAAGAAGGCCGAAAGGUCCCAGGUUCUAGUCCACGUCUGUGGACCGGCGUUCAGGAGCGACCUUUCUGCACACGAAGG
rnacentral:lncRNA from 1 species